rnacentral:rRNA from 1 species
CGAACGCUGGCGGCAGGCCUAACACAUGCAAGUCGAGCGCAGUCCUUCGGGACCGAGCGGCGGACGGGUUAGUAACGCGUGGGAACAUACCCUUUUCUACGGAAUAGCCUCGGGAAACUGAGAGUAAUACCGUAUAAGCCCUUCGGGGGAAAGAUUUAUCGGGAAAGGAUUGGCCCGCGUUAGAUUAGAUAGUUGGUGGGGUAAUGGCCUACCAAGUCUACGAUCUAUAGCUGGUUUUAGAGGAUGAUCAGCAACACUGGGACUGAGACACGGCCCAGACUCCUACGGGAGGCAGCAGUGGGGAAUCUUAGACAAUGGGCGCAAGCCUGAUCUAGCCAUGCCGCGUGUGUGAUGAAGGUCUUAGGAUCGUAAAGCACUUUCGCCAGGGAUGAUAAUGACAGUACCUGGUAAAGAAACCCCGGCUAACUCCGUGCCAGCAGCCGCGGUAAUACGGAGGGGGUUAGCGUUGUUCGGAAUUACUGGGCGUAAAGCGUACGUAGGCGGAUCAGAAAGUAGGGGGUGAAAUCCCAGGGCUCAACCCUGGAACUGCCUCCUAAACUCCUGGUCUUGAGUUCGAGAGAGGUGAGUGGAAUUCCAAGUGUAGAGGUGAAAUUCGUAGAUAUUUGGAGGAACACCAGUGGCGAAGGCGGCUCACUGGCUCGAUACUGACGCUGAGGUACGAAAGUGUGGGGAGCAAACAGGAUUAGAUACCCUGGUAGUCCACACCGUAAACGAUGAAUGCCAGUCGUCGGGCAGUAUACUGUUCGGUGACACACCUAACGGAUUAAGCAUCC